AGGAGACGGCUGGCGGGCGUGGAUUAGGCAUGCAAGUCGAACGGUAUCAUCCUUUCGGGGAUGAGAGAGUGGCGAACGGGUGAGUAACACGUAGGUGAUCUACCCUCAAGACGGGGACAACCCAGGGAAACUUGGGCGUAAUACCGGAUGUGAGCUAUCGCGAGAUAGUUUGAAAGGUGGCUUCGGCUGCCGCUUGAGGAUGAGCCUGCGUCCUAUUAGCUAGUUGGUGAGGUAACGGCUCACCGAGGCGAUGAUAGGUAGGCGGCCUUAACGGGUGGUCGCCCACACUGGGAUUGAGAUACGGCCCAGACUCCUACGGGAGGCAGCAGUCGAGAAUAGUCUACAAUGGCCGAAAGGCUGAUAGUGCGACGCCGCGUGAACGAAGAAGCCCUUCGGGGUGUAAAGUUCUUUUAUAUGUGAGCAGUGCUUUCUAUGUGAACAGCAUGGGGAGAGAGAUAUUAGCAUAUGAAUAAGCAACGGCUAACUCCGUG
rnacentral:rRNA from 1 species